rnacentral:rRNA from 1 species
AACGAACGCUGGCGGCAUGCCUAACACAUGCAAGUCGAACGAGACCUUCGGGUCUAGUGGCGCACGGGUGCGUAACGCGUGGGAACCUUCCCUUAGGUUCGGAAUAACUCCCCGAAAGGGGUGCUAAUACCGGAUAAUGUCUUCGGACCAAAGAUUUAUCGCCUUUGGUUGUGCCCUCGUGGGAUUAGCUAGUUGGUAGGGUAAAAGCCUACCAAGGCGACGAUCCGUAGAUGGGAUGAGAGGAUGAUAAGCCACACUGGGACUGAGAAACGGCCCAGACUCCUACGGGAGGCAGAAGUGGGGAAUAUUGGAAAAUGGGCGAAAGGCUGAUCCAGCAAGGCCGCGUGAGUGAUGAAGGCAUUAGGGUUGUAAAGCUCUUUUACCCGGGAUGAUAAUGACAGUACCGGGAGAAUAAGCUCCGGCUAACUCCGUG